GCAGUAAUGGAUUGACCGUCCACUUGUUUUCGAGUCUAAGGAUUUAUUUUGAAUCGAAGCUCUCAAAGCAAUGAAGCUCAUUUCUAAGCUGCUGGAACUAUGCAUUUUUCUUGUAGAAGCUGGAGCAAGACUCAGUUUUUGCAAGUCUUGCCCUUUUUUCACCAUUCAAUUGGAUGGGAGCCAGGGAUCGUCAGUGCCUCACCAAACUGGAGCUAAAGCCAGGAUUUUUCGAAGGACUCAGCUCUCUGACUCUUCAGGAAGAGUC
rnacentral:lncRNA from 1 species